rnacentral:rRNA from 1 species
GUGGGGAAUUUUGGACAAUGGGCGCAAGCCUGAUCCAGCAAUGCCGCGUGCAGGAAGAAGGCCUUCGGGUUGUAAACUGCUUUUGUACGGAACGAAACGGUCCGGGUUAAUACCCUGGGCUAAUGACGGUACCGUAAGAAUAAGCACCGGCUAACUACGUGCCAGCAGCCGCGGUAAUACGUAGGGUGCAAGCGUUAAUCGGAAUUACUGGGCGUAAAGCGUGCGCAGGCGGUUUUGUAAGACAGGCGUGAAAUCCCCGGGCUCAACCUGGGAAUUGCGCUUGUGACUGUAAGGCUGGAGUGCGGCAGAGGGGGAUGGAAUUCCGCGUGUAGCAGUGAAAUGCGUAGAUAUGCGGAGGAACACCGAUGGCGAAGACAAUCCCCUGGGCCUGCACUGACGCUCAUGCACGAAAGCGUGGGGAGCAAACAGGAUUAGAAACCCUUGUAGUCC